rnacentral:rRNA from 1 species
UCGAGAAUUUUUCUCAAUGGGGGAAACCCUGAAGGAGCGACGCCGCGUGGAGGAUGAAGGCUUUCGGGUUGUAAACUCCUGUCAUUUGAGAACAAUGCCCCGGCAUUAACUGUGUCGGGGUUGAUAGUAUCAGAAGAGGAAGGGACGGCUAACUCUGUGCCAGCAGCCGCGGUAAUACAGAGGUCCCAAGCGUUGUUCGGAUUCAUUGGGCGUAAAGGGUGCGUAGGUGGCGUCGUAAGUCGGGUGUGAAAUUUCGGAGCUCAACUCCGAAACUGCAUUCGAUACUGCGGUGCUUGAGGACUGGAGAGGAGACUGGAAUUUACGGUGUAGCAGUGAAAUGCGUAGAGAUCGUAAGGAAGACCAGUGGCGAAGGCGGGUCUCUGGACAGUUCCUGACACUGAGGCACGAAGGCCAGGGGAGCAAACG